GUACACAAGACAAGCCCAAGACAAUACCAACAAGCCCAUUUCUAUGUUAUAAACCCAUGUGUGUUAGGGUUCCUUUGCAAGUGAGUUAGUAGUAUAAAUAUGAUUGUAAUGUGUUGUGACAAAGAAACUUUUCUGCCGGGAAAGGCAGCCUCACUUCUCCUUAAUGAAAUAUCAAUUUAAGUUCUUGUGUUCUUGGUGACAAAGCUAAAGCUUCUUCCUUUCUUUAUUUCUCUGCAUAAUAAAGCUCUUUGAGCUAUGUCUUUAUCUCUUUAGUUUAUGUUCAAUAAAGACCUUAAACACACAAAUCCAUUCUGUUCUUGAAAUGUUAACAUGGUAUCAGAGCUUCAGUCGGUUCAUGGAACUUCUGGGUUUUUAAUCUCUUGAGCUCACCACAGCUUUCUCCUCACGUGAAGCUACCGUUUCUCUCUCCUCACAGACCAUCAAUCACGGCAUACAAAGCAUCUUCUCAACUGGUUCUGCUUCUCACCACAACCGUUGGAUUUGGAGCCAAGUCUAAACCUCCAGAUUUCAGCCUUUAUUCAUGAAGCCAUCAUGCUUCUCACGUGAAGAAAAAAAAAUCAAGGUAAUUUCCUUGUUCUAAGACAGAACAGAACUUAGAGAACUGCCGUUAAGUUAUAGUUUGAUAGGAUAAUGCUGGUUUGGUUUAGUGGUCUGGAAGUCAGAAGCUGUGAUGAAUUAUGUUGUCGUUUGGGUUAGUUUUAGAUCAAGUUUCUGCUGAUUUUCAAGAGUAUGAUGAGUGCGCACAAGUUGUUCGAUAGAAUGCCAAAAGAAAAGCAGAAGGUCAUAUGCAGAGUCUAGUUAGUUAUGGAUGGAAGAUAGAUAGUGGGAAAGAUCAAAGUUGUUGUGGGAAGGUCCAUUUUUGUUAUCAGACAAACUUGAUGAGUUACACGGGUCAGAAAAGAACCCGGACUCUUUGUGAGAAAGAAAGGUCACAUUGUACCUCUGAGUGAGAUCGACUAAGCUCUCCAAGUUCAAGAGAAACCUCUGAGUGAAGCCAUGCGAUACUCUCCAAGUAUAGACCAACAAUCUCUUCUAUGUGAUGAAUUAAAGAUUACACCUAUAGCUUCAUGUGAUCAUGCUUCCACUACUUAUUCCACCAAGCCAUCUGCAUUUGAGGUUCAAACUCAGCAUCUUGCUUACAUCCGACGCUAAGUUUGCGGGGGAGUAUUAGAGUACACAAGACAAGCCCAAGACAAUACCAACAAGCCCAUUUCUAUGUUAUAAACCCAUGUGUGUUAGGGUUCUUUUGCAAGUGAUUUAGUAGUAUAAAUAGGAUUGUAAUGUGUUGUGACAAAGAAACUUUGCUGCCGGGAAAGGCAGCUUCACUUCUCCUUAAUGAAAUAUCAAUUUAAGUUCUUGUGUUCUUGGUGACAAAGCUAAAGCUUCUUCCUUUCUUUAUUUCUCUGCAUAAUAAAGCUCUUUGAGCUAUAUCUUUAUCUCUUUAGUUUAUGUUCAAUAAAGACCUUAAACACACAAAUCCAUUCUGUUCUUGAAAUGUUAAC
rnacentral:lncRNA from 1 species